rnacentral:rRNA from 1 species
GAGGGUGAAAGCGGGGGAUCGCAAGACCUCGCGCGAUUGGAGCGGCCGAUAUCAGAUUAGGUAGUUGGUGAGGUAAAGGCUCACCAAGCCGACGAUCUGUAGCUGGUCUGAGAGGACGACCAGCCACACUGGGACUGAGACACGGCCCAGACUCCUACGGGAGGCAGCAGUGGGGAAUUUUGGACAAUGGGCGCAAGCCUGAUCCAGCCAUGCCGCGUGCGGGAAGAAGGCCUUCGGGUUGUAAACCGCUUUUGUCAGGGAAGAAAAGGUUCUGGCUAAUACCUGGGACUCAUGACGGUACCUGAAGAAUAAGCACCGGCUAACUACGUGCCAGCAGCCGCGGUAAUACGUAGGGUGCAAGCGUUAAUCGGAAUUACUGGGCGUAAAGCGUGCGCAGGCGGUUAUGCAAGACAGAGGUGAAAUCUCCG